UACUUAAAGGAGCUGAUGAGUAAACAGAGAUACACAGACUCUACUGGAAAUUCAUAGUCAACUAGAGGAAAGAACAUAGAGAAAUCAAGUUCCCCUCUCUCUGGCUUUUCUGCAUGGGGCUAACUACAGUGAGAACAGUUAUAGAAGAUGAAUCACAAUUUUACUGCAACAAACUUCAUUUAAUGCCCAGUUAUCCACCAGUGAAUAAGAUGAAUGAGUGUGGGAAAAGAAAAAUCAACAGACUAUGAUUCAAGAUUUUCCGACUCAGCUCCCAGAAAAUGCGAAAUACAAAAGUUAUAGAAAAGUGGUGCAUCUUCUGGAACAUACUGAACCACAGACUCUUUAGGGACUAGUAAAUGUAUACUGUCUAUCAAAGCCUAUAAACCCCGAAGAUUUUUUUUCCAUUAGAGAGUAACAGUAUCCAGAAUUUACCUGGACAUAUAAAAUCAAGUAAUUUUUAAGUACUUCAAGAAGGAAAAAAGUCGAAGAAUUUUCCUUUUACUUUUGUUUGUAGUCAGCACAUCAUCAGCAUUUCUACAUCAAAGACUGGAGGAAAAGAGAAGCUAAAAAUUCUAAGUUCAAUGCUUAAAUCUUUUCUGUGUGUGUGCCUAUCCUAUACAUUAAUUACUAUUUACUUUGGUAAGU